rnacentral:rRNA from 1 species
AUUGAACGCUGGCGGCAGGCCUAACACAUGCAAGUCGAGUGGAUGACGGGAGCUUGCUCCUUGAUUCAGCGGCGGACGGGUGAGUAAUGCCUAGGAAUCUGCCUGGUAGUGGGGGACAACGUUUCGAAAGGAACGCUAAUACCGCAUACGUCCUACGGGAGAAAGCAGGGGACCUUCGGGCCUUGCGCUAUCAGAUGAGCCUAGGUCGGAUUAGCUAGUAGGUGAGGUAAUGGCUCACCUAGGCGACGAUCCGUAACUGGUCUGAGAGGAUGAUCAGUCACACUGGAACUGAGACACGGUCCAGACUCCUACGGGAGGCAGCAGUGGGGAAUAUUGGACAAUGGGCGAAAGCCUGAUCCAGCCAUGCCGCGUGUGUGAAGAAGGUCUUCGGAUUGUAAAGCACUUUAAGUUGGGAGGAAGGGCAGUAAGUUAAUACCUUGCUGUUUUGACGUUACCGACAGAAUAAGCACCGGCUAACUCUGUGCCAGCCGCCGCCGUAACAC